UUUCUUGUCAUAAAAUGUGAAUUUUAUUUUACAUUAUUAUUGCUUACACUUUUGUUUUUCAGUCUGUGAAGUUAAUCAAGCAGUCUUAAGAGUUGGAGGCAGUGCUGGAUGAAAAAAAGGCAAAUGUAUUUCAGAUUCAAAAUAUGAGAAUAGGGUUGAGGAGACCCAAAAGAAUAUGUACCUCAAGACCUAAGCUGAAAUGUCCAGGGUCAUUGUUAGGAAGCAGGUUGUGCUGCUGACGGCGCCCCCUUCCCCUGCAGGACUGCAGUUGCUGCUGCCUCGGGAGAGCGACCUGAUCCCUCACCCCAGCCACCAGAGA
rnacentral:lncRNA from 1 species